GGAGGAGGGAGAGGAGGGUUUCACAAAGUAUCCAGUCUUUGCGGCACCCUUACCAGCAACAGCCCCAGCCCAGCCUUUCAUUUUUCUCUGAGGUCUACUUUUACCCAAACCUCUAAACAUACUCAUGCCCAAGCUUAAAGAGUGCCAGUGGGCGAAGACAAGAAGGGGCCACACUCCUGUCUUCCAGCUGUGUAAUAAUAAAGCCAAUGUGGUGGACUUUUUUUGUUGGUGGUGGUUUGUUGUUUUUUUGUUGUUUUUGUUUUUGGUUUUUUGUUUUUGUUUUGUUUUUUU
rnacentral:lncRNA from 1 species